UACAGAGGGUGCGAGCGUUGUCCGGAAUCACUGGGCGUAAAGGGCGCGUAGGUGGCGCCCCAAGUCGAUGGUGAAAGCUCGCCGCUCAACGGCGAGUCGGCCACCGAUACUGGGGCGCUUGAGCACUGUAGAGGCUAAUGGAAUUCCGGGUGUAGCGGUGGAAUGCGUAGAGAUCCGGAAGAACACCGGUGGCGAAGGCGGUUAGCUGGGCAGUUGCUGACACUGAGGCGCGACAGCGUGGGGAGCAAACAGG
rnacentral:rRNA from 1 species